rnacentral:rRNA from 1 species
UUCUGUAGUCGGAUUUGUAAGUCAGAGGUUAAAUCUUGGGGCCCAACCCCAAAUCUGCUUUUGAUACUGCAAGUCUAGAGGAAAUUAGGGGACAGUAGAACCUACGGUGGAGCGGUGAAAUGCGUUGAUAUCAUAGGGAAUACCGAGGGGGUAGCCAACUGUCUGGGAUUUUCCUGACGCUGAGAGACGAAAGCUAGGGUAGCGAAAC